rnacentral:lncRNA from 1 species
UUUCUUUUCUUUUCUUUUCUUUUCUUUUCUUUUCUUUCUUUUCUUUUUUCUUUUCUUUUCUUUUUUUUCUUUUCUUUUCUUUUUUUUCUUUUCUUUCUUUUCUUUUCUUUUCUUUUCUUCUUUUCUUUUCUUUUCUUUUCUUUUCUUUUCUUUUCUUUUCUUUUCUUUUCUUUUCUUUCUUCUUUUUAAAUAAACCACAGAAAAAAGGGGCAUAGUUCAAAAACAGCAUUUGAUUCCAGGAAAUUUAAAAAUAAUCUACAAAAUAAGCAAAUUACAUCAAACAAACAAAAAGUGAACUAUAAUAAACUUAUGAAAGAAGUUAGAAUUAGAAAAAAUAAAUAAUGGAUUGGGAAAAUAUGAUUUAUUAAUAUUCUAACAUGGAUAAUUAAAAAUAAAAUUAGAAAAAAUUUUGACAAUUUUAAUUUAUUCUGAAGGAAACGUACUUGAGGAUGAAAUGGGGAAUAUAAUCACAGGUGGAAUAGAGAUUAGAAUUAAGAGAAUGGUAUUUUCAAUUUCAUGAAAGCUGUGUUCAUUUCUAUAUUAAUAGUUUUGAAAGUUUAGAUUAAAUAUGUUAUUUCACUGGAAAUUUUUAAUUAUAAAAAAACUAAUGUAGACUUUGAAAGAGAGCUAUAAGAUCCAAGCCACUGGAAAGGAACUAAAAUCAGAUAAAUGUUGUUUAUGCUGAAUCUCUGGUUUUACCUUUUCUUUCUAUGUUGGAUAUAGCAUGGGAAGAAAAACAAAAUGGUUCUAAAUAACCAAAUUACCAAACCAUCGCGUGGGGGAUAUACUCAAACUGCACCUAUCAAUACCCAACAAUUAGAUCUCUCUGUAUAUAUAUGUAUAUAUAUAUAUAUAUUCAAAAAAUCUUAUUGUACAUUGGAUAUCUAAUGUUUUCAGUAUAAGGUAUAUAUGGUCAUAUACCUAGACCAAUUAAAUAUAUAGCCCAACAUUUUUUUAAAUUUUUAUUUUUUAAAGAUUUUUAUUUAUUAGAGAGCAUGAGUGGGGUGAAGGGCAGAAGGCAGCAGGGAGCCCAAUGUGGGACUCCAUCUAAGGACUCCAAUAUCAUGCCCUAGCCCAAGGAAGAUGCUUAAUCCACUGAGCCACCCAGGAGCCCCUGUAGCCCAACAUUUCUAAGAGUAAAAAUUUGAAAGUACACCUCCUGUAACAUCAGAAUAAAAAAAAAAAAAAAAAAAAAAAAAACAAAGCACUAGAUACUACAAGGCUUCCUAGGAAGUGUAUCAGUAAAUGUAAAGAGAAAUUACAAGGCCUUGCUUCCAUAGAGAUAUAUCCAUAUAAAAAUGUUUCCUAAAAAAAAAAAAAAAAAAAAAAAAAAUUUCCUAAGAGGGGACGCCUGGGUGACUCAGUUGUGGAGAGUCUGUGUUCAGCUCAGAUUGUGAUCCCAGGGUGCUGGGAUCCAGUCCUGUACUACGGUCCCCGCAGGAGCCUGCUUCUCCCUCUGCCUGUGUCUCUGCCUCUCUCUCUGUGGGUCUCUCAUGAAUAAAUAAAAUCUUAUUUUUUUUUCUUAAGGGGAAGUAGAACUAAACAAGCAAACAAAUUUUGAAGUGUGGCCACACUGCUAGUAUUUGUUUUGUUUUUAUGAUUACUGAAUGCAGAGAAAUGACUGCAGAAGACUCUGGAGAGCUAAAGACCUGAAUUUGUAUUCACCCUUAAGUGAUGUAUUUUUCUCUUCUCUGAGAGACAGAACAGAAAUAGUGGACUGCAGUCAGUAAGUCUCUGAUUUAAAAGGGAACAUGGUGGGCAGACCUUUCCUUCAUAUUUUGAGGGCCCAAGGCAAUAGCACAAAUGGAAGGUUCUGGACUCCCACCAUUAUUUUCCUACCUCUUACCUGCAACAUCACUCAUUAGUCCUGCUAAAUAAAGGUCCUGUAAGUAGGCUCAGGGCUGUUGAGGUAGGGAAUAUCUGGACUCACAUAUUCAGAAUGUGACCCAGACGAGACAAAGGAAUAAGGACUCACUGAGUCCAUUUCCUAUCCAAAGAGUGGGUGUGCAGCUGUGGGCCAAAAACAGUCUCUAUAAAAUUAUUUUUUCUUAAAAAAUUCAGGGUGUUAUGGUAGAUAUUAG